ensembl:lncRNA
GGUGGAGGGGAGUACUGAGGCAAUGUAUUGGGUUGGAGGAUGGAGGAAUGAGGUGGAGGGGAGUACUGAGGUAAUGUAUUGGGUUGGAGGAUGGAGGAUGGGGGAUGAGUGGGGGGAGUACUGAGGCAAUGUAUUGGGUUGGAGGAUGGAGGAUGGAGGAAUGAGGUGGAGGGGAGUACUGAGGUAAUGUAUUGGGUUGGAGGAUGGAGGAUGGGGGAUGAGUGGGGGAGUACUGAGACAAUGUAUUGGGUUGGAGGAUGGACGAAUGAGGUGGAGGGGAGUACUGAGGUAAUGUAUUGGGUUGGAG